GAAACUUCAUGGAGAAGUACUGCUGGCUCUUGGACUUUUCUUCCAGAAGUGGCACAUUUCACUUUUCAUAUUUUAAUUGCGGAAAGAAAUCACAUGGCCACACUUGUCUUUGUUUGUUUGUUUGUUUGUUUGUUUGAGACAGCGUCUCACUGUAUCACCAAGGCCUGGAGUGCAGUGGCAUGAUCAUGGCUCACUGCAGCCUCCACCUCAGCUCCACCAAGUAGCUGGAACUACAGGUGCACAUCACCACGCCCAGCUAAUUUUUUUGAUUUUUGAUAGAGACAAAGUCUCACUAUGUUAUAACCCAGGCUGGUUUCAAACUUCUGAGCUUGGCGAUCCUCCCAUCUCAGCCUCCCAAAGUGCUGGGAUUACAGGCAUGAGCCACUGUGCCCGACCGCAAGAUUUAUAUUUCUGUAUGCAAAUUAUAUUUAGAGUUUUUAAAAAACGCCUAGCUAUAAUCGUGGAUCAAAAUAUUUUAAGAAAUAACAGAGCUGUGCACAGUGGCACAUGCCUGUAGCCAGGAGUUCAAGUCCAGCCUGGGCAACAUAAAACCUUGUCUCUUAAGAAAAGAAUUAAUAGGAAAACUUGAAAUUCUAUGCAUUUAAAAAUUAUUAAAUGAAAAUAACAAAAGAUUAUUGUAAGCCACUCCAGGACUGGGAUAUAAGGACCUUAGAAAAUGCUGUGGUAAAUUCUGCCCCCAUUGUUUUAUUUUAAUAAUAGGGGAAAAUGGGGGUAUACCAGCUUUGUAAGGUAACUUUGUUAUGACAGAUUUGUACUAGGACUGACUGUCAAAAUUUUAAACUUUAUAAUUUUCCCAGCUUAUAUACAGAUCUGUUUAUAAUAGAAUUUUUAAGUACUUGGAAGGAAAGAAAUUACAAAUAGAACCUUUGUAUUUAUGUUUGGAGGGUUUUUUUUCUUAUUAACCAUUAUAGCCAGAAUAUAUAAACUACACGUAUUUUAGCACACUAAUGAACUGUUUGAGAGUUAACCGUUUUUCACUUUAUCUUUAGGCUUGUGUAGUAAAACGUGAAUUUAAGAAGGCAGAACAGUUAAUUAAACAUGCAGUGUAUUUGGCACGGUAGGUGAUUAAUAUUAAAAAUAUCCUUUUAAAUUGUCUCUAUACUUUAUAUCCUAAUAAUUUUGUGUCUUUUUAUAGGGAUCAUUUUGGAUCCAAACACCCAAAAUAUUCUGAUACACUGCUAGAUUAUGGAUUCUACUUACUCAAUGUAGAUAAUAUCUGUCAGUCUGUUGCAAUUUAUCAGGUAUGUUAAUGGUUACUCUUUUUUUCUUUCAACCUAUAUUGACUUGCUGACCUGUAUUUGUUUGUGGUGUAUAAACCACUCUCUAAAAAUGACUUUUUGACAACUACCCCGCCCACCAAUAUAGGUUGCAUCAUUAUUUUAUUAAGUAUUACCUAGAAGGUGUAAAAGUUAAUGCUUUGGGAAUUAAAGAGAAUCAUUCAGGAAAGGAAUUGUUGGGUUGUGAGCUCAUAUUUGGGAGUGGUUUUCCGUUUUUUAUUUACCCAUGUAAUGGCUUAUCUUUGUUGUUGAUUUAGCAAAUGUCACUAAAGCUGCCUUUGUAGUAACAAAGAUGGCUGAUAAUUAUUUUAGGCCUUUCUUACUCAUUCUCAGGUAAAUGAUGUAUUAUGCCAUUGCUGUAGACAAGGCAUACUUGACUUUAAGGUUCACUUUUUUUUUUUUUUUUGAGACAGAGUUUUGAUCUGUCGCCCAGGCUGGAGUGCAAUGGUGCAAUCUCAGCUCACUGCAACCUCCGCCUCCCAAGUUCAAGCAAUUCUCGUGCCUCGGCCUCCUGAGUAUCUGGGAUUACAGGCCCAUGCCACAAUGCCUGGCUAAUUUUGUAUUUUUAGUAGAGAGGUGGUUUCACCAUGUUGCCCAGGCUAGUCUUGAACUACUGACCUCAGGUGAUCCACCCACCUUGGCCUCCCAAAAGUACUAGGAUUACAGGUGUGAGCCACAGCGCCUGGCCUAAGGUUCACUUUUGAAGAAGGAAACAGAGAAAAACAUUCCCAAUGUCUUGAUUCUCAAGACAUAGGAAUUAUUAUUAUUAUUAUUAUUAUUAUUAAGCCGUGGCCUUUUAAGUCAAACUCUAUCUUCAGAAAUUUAGGACUUCUAGGUGACUUUCAUGUUCUGUAAUUUAAAUACAGCAGGACUUUCUGGGCUUCAAAAUUUUAUGGUGUUAGGCAUAUAGAUAUAUAUUUAAAUUACUAGGAUGUUUAAUUUAACUAGAUGGUAUUUUCUACAGUAUUGACAAAUAUUUUUAUGAUUCUUUCAGGCAGCCCUUGACAUUAGACAGUCAGUGUUUGGUGGCAAAAAUAUCCACGUAGCAACAGCUCAUGAAGAUUUGGCCUACUCUUCUUAUGUCCACCAGUAUAGCUCUGGGAAAUUUGACAAUGCACUGUAAGUUCCGCAUUCCUUUUCUCUGAAGGAGGAAAUACUGUUUUUGUUUUAUUUUGUUUUUUCCCAUUAGGGAACUAUUAUUACAUUAAUAAUAGUACUUGAUAUACUUUAUAGAUUGAAUUUGUCUUCCUGGAGCUUUAACAGAAUGCCUAAAAUGUUCUUGAAGUCAUUUAAAAUCAUACCAGUUUUCGGGUGCAGAGGCACUUGCCUGUAAUCCCAGCACUUUGGGAGGCUGAGGUGGAAAGAUUGCUUGAGCCCAAGAGUUUGAGACCCUGUCUACUCAAAAAAUUUUUAAAAUUAGCUGGACAUUUUGGUGCAUGCCUGUGAUCCCAGCUUCUCUGGAGGCUGAGGCAGGAGAAUCGCUUGAACCCAAGAGGUUAAGGAUGCAGUGAGGCAUAUUCACACCACUGCAUUCCAGCCUGGGCAACAGAGUGAGACCCUGUUUCCAAAAAUAAAUAAAUAAAAUCAUACUAAUUUAUAGGUUAUUCAUUUAGCCUUUAUAUGAUUUAAUAUUGAGACUUGUAUGUUUUCAUGUAGAAUAUAACUUAUCUUUUGAGUAUUUCCUUCAAUAAUUUUUGAGUAAUACAGUAGCAAACUUAAUAACCUAAAAACUUCUUGGUGAGAACACAUAGAAAUACUGAAUAACAAUUGUCUUUUUAAAUAUAUAACUGAGCUUGCAAGAGCGAGGGGGAAAUCCCCCAAGGGCCAAUAAUGGACACUAAAAUUUAAAGGAUUAAGUAUGGCUUGUGGUAUAACUGCUCUGGGGUGAUGGGAAAGUUUAGAGAUUUCUGUAACCUUGGUUUAAGAAACAGCCUAUAGGAGGCUGGGAGUUAGAACUCAAACCCUCACAUGAAGCAAAGUCAAGACUACAACCCGGCCGGGCGUGGUGGCUCACGCCUGUAAUCUCAGCACUUUGGGAGGCCAAGGCGGGUGGAUCACCUGAGGUCAGGAGUUCAAGACAAGCCUGGCCAAGAUGGUGAAAUGCUGUCUCUACUAAAAAUACAAAAAUUAGCCGGGCAUGGUGGUGGGCACUUGUAAUCCCAGCUACUUGGGAGGCUGAGGCAGACAAUUGCUUGAACCCAGGAGGUGGAGGUUGCAGUGAGCCGAGAUCGCGCCACUGCUCUCCAGCCUAGGAACAGAGUGAGACUCUGUCUCCAAA
rnacentral:sRNA from 1 species